UUGAACGCUGGCGGAAUGCUUUACACAUGCAAGUCGAACGGUAGAGGGGGNAACCCUUGAGAGUGGCGAACGGGUGAGUAAUAUAUCGGAACGUGCCCAGUCGUGGGGGAUAACGUAGCGAAAGCUACGCUAAUACCGCAUACGAUCUAUGGAUGAAAGCGGGGGGAUCGCAAGACCUCGCGCGAUUGGAGCGGCCGAUAUCAGAUUAGGUAGUUGGUGAGGUAAAGGCUCACCAAGCCGACGAUCUGUAGCUGGUCUGAGAGGACGACCAGCCACACUGGGACUGAGACACGGCCCAGACUCCUACGGGAGGCAGCAGUGAGGAAUAUUGGACAAUGGGCGCAAGCCUGAUCCAGCCAUGCCGCGUGCAGGAUGACGGUCCUAUGGAUUGUAAACUGCUUUAUACAGGAAGAAACACUCCGACGUGUCGGAGCUUGACGGUACUGUAAGAAUAAGGAUCGGCUAACUCCGUG
rnacentral:rRNA from 1 species